UGAGUCUUCUUCUUGAGCAUUACAUAGUCAUGCUAUUUUGCUUUCGGUUAGUUGGUGGGGAGGGGCCCAGGGGGUUGUGUAGAAAAAUUGAGGUUCAAUGUUUUGGUAAAGUUUUCUCAUUUCUAAUCUUUUUAAUAGUUAGUUAUGAUCAUAUUGUAGAUGUUUUAUAAUAAAAAAGAUAUCAUUUUACCUCUAAAGUGCACUUUCCACUUGCUGUUUUACCAGUAAAAUGGAUAAAGCAAUCAUUAUAUCAUAGAGGUUUACAUUGUCGUGGUGUUAUUGUACUUGGUGCUCAUUAAUUGUUUGACUAUUUUAUGCCACAUCAAAGAUGAACACUAGAACUGGUUUCUUAAGAAUACCAAUUCUUUCGGACCGAAGCGCGCUCAAUGGCUUUUAAACUUAUCUAAUAAAUCCUUCACCUAAAAUAAUUUGCUUAAAGUCCAUAUAUUUUACAAUGUAAUUAAUUCAAAAUAACAUAAUAUAUCAUUGUGCUAAAUUUAGCCAUGACAUGGUAAGUCGGAAUUGGUGCCAUAUACGGGUGGUUGGCAAUGUUAGUUUGAUCCCCCUAUUAAUCAUUGGUUUCCACACCCAUGGUGAACUAAGUGGUGAUGAGUAAUGGGUAAUUUUUAGCAUUUUUUUAUUAAAUAUAGUCUCGACAAAUUUAUAUGUAAUGACAAACACAUGUAAUUUUCACUGAAAAACAAUUUAUCAUAAUUAAAUCUCAUGGAAAAUAGUAAACUAAUAAAAAAUUAUGUUAAAUACACCUAAUAAAUUAAUAUCUCAUUUGUAUUCGGGUUUUAGAUUUAUGCUUAGAAUUUUAUUUUAUUUUCCUGUUACAAUAAGUAAAUUUUUCAUUGGUAUGCUUUAAUAUUUUUAUUUUCUAUUUACUUUCCUUGUUGAAUUCAGUUUUGUAAUUUUUAUGUUUAUAUUAUCUCUUUCUAUUAUCUAUUCUAUUCUCUUUUUAGGGGUUUAGGGGUUUAGGAUUUUAGCACUGAUCUUGCCAUAAGAAAGAAUAAGAUAUACUGAAAAACCUGAUAUGUCGGAAUAGCAAAAUAUACACAAUCAUAACUCAUAAUCUUCAAUAGAACACUAAUAUUCAUGUGAGAAACCCCAGAUGCAUCUUGAACUGAAAUAGUUGGAUGAGGCCCCACCAAAAGAUUGCUCCAACAGAUUAGUUAUUGCAGAAAAUACUCAAAAAAUCACAAAAUGUGAAAAUAUCUUAUAGAAAAUGCCCAUUCUCAAGAACAACAUUUGCAACUCUAAAGAACAAAUAAGCAUUUGCAUGUUGCUGAAAAAAACCAAAGAAAUAGCACAUGGUAAAUAAGGAGUCAGACAAUCAAAAUAAUAUCUGCAUG
rnacentral:lncRNA from 1 species